rnacentral:rRNA from 1 species
UACGAAGGGGGCUAGCGUUGCUCGGAAUUACUGGGCGUAAAGGGCGCGUAGGCGGACCUGUCAGUCAGGCGUGAAAGCCCAGGGCUCAACCCUGGAACUGCGCUUGAUACUGCUGGUCUAGAGUGCCGGAGAGGAUGGUGGAAUUCCCAGUGUAGAGGUUAAAUUCGUAGAUAUUGGGAAGAACACCGGUGGCGAAGGCGGCUAUCUGGACGGCAACUGACGCUGAGGCGCGAUGGCGUGGGGAGCAAACAGG